GAUGAAGAACGUAACGAAAUGCGAUACGUAGUGUGAAUUGCAGAAUUCAGUGAAUCAUCGAAUCUUUGAACGCACAUUGCACCUCUCGGUAUUCCGGGAGGUAUGCCUGUUCGAGCGUCAUUUGUACCCUCAAGCUCUGCUUGGUGUUGGGUGUUUGUUCCGCCUCUGUGUGUGAACUCGCCUCAAAACAAUUGGCAGCCGGCGUACUUGUUUCGGAGCGCAGCACAUUUUGCGAUCCAGAUCAACGUACAGCGGCAUCCAAGAAGCCUUAUUUAACGCUCUUGACCUCGGAUCAGGUAGGGAUACCCGCUGAACUUAAGCAUAUCAAUAAGCGGAGGA
rnacentral:misc_RNA from 1 species